rnacentral:tRNA from 1 species
GGGCCCGUAGCUCAGUGGACAGAGUGCCAGGUUCCGGACCUGGUUGUCGGGGGUUCAAAUCCCUCCGGGCUCG